GUGGGGAAUAUUGGACAAUGGGGGGAACCCUGAUCCAGCCAUGCCGCGUGUGUGAAGAAGGCCUUUUGGUUGUAAAGCACUUUAAGUGGGGAGGAGGCUUACCUAGUUAAUACCUGGGCUAAGUGGACGUUACCCACAGAAUAAGCACCGGCUAACUCUGUGCCAGCAGCCGCGGUAAUACAGAGGGUGCGAGCGUUAAUCGGAUUUACUGGGCGUAAAGCGCGCGUAGGUGGUUAAUUAAGUCAAAUGUGAAAUCCCCGAGCUUAACUUGGGAAUUGCAUUCGAUACUGGUUGGCUAGAGUAUGGGAGAGGAUGGUAGAAUUCCAGGUGUAGCGGUGAAAUGCGUAGAGAUCUGGAGGAAUACCGAUGGCGAAGGCAGCCAUCUGGCCUAAUACUGACACUGAGGUGCGAAAGCAUGGGGAGCAAACAGGAUUAGAAACCCUGGUAGUCC
rnacentral:rRNA from 1 species